AAAAAGCAUUUAGAUCAAUGUCAGCAUAAAGGAGACUGGACUGCAAAACAGAACUGUGUGCAAAGGGAAUUUGUUGAAAUAAACAGGCUGCACCCUCUGGGACAGAGAAGCAUGGUCACCUGGGAAGGAGAGAAAAGGGAGCUUGGGUCACUCCAGUAUCAGCAGCCAGCUCAGAAAUGUAGACCUGCACAAAAUAAUACCCAGGCAGCUAUGAGAAUAUCUGUUGCAGCCAAGAGGGCACCCUGCCUUCUCUUUUCAUAUCCAGUGAAGACUGUCCCUCUCCGUGACACCAUGGCUGGAGGAAGUGGAUACACCGUGCCUGCUGCAUCUGAGGGCUGAAAUGCAAGAUCUUCAAAGAUGGAAUCUGGCUCUGUCACCCAGGCUGGAGUACAGUGGUGCGAUCUCGGCUCACCUGCAACCUCCGCCUCCUGGGUUCAAGCGAUUCUUCCGCCUCAGCCUCCUGAGUAGUUGGAACUACAGGUGUGCACCACCACGCCCGGCUAAUUUUUGUAUUUUUAGUAGACACGGGGUUUCCCCAUGUUGGCCAGGCUGGUCUCGAACUCCUGACCUCAUGAUCUGCCAGCCUUAGCCUCCCAAAGUGCUGGGAUUACAGGCAUGAGCCACUGCGCCCAGCCUAAACCAGUGUCAGUCUUAAGUGAAAAGUGCUUGUAUGAUUGAGACUAAGUGAUUUGGGGAUUGGUGAGUAAGCCAAUAUGGGCAGAGUUGAUUGUGAAUAAACCAAUGCCCAAACAACACAUUUCCUCUAAUAUUUCUCCUACUCAAAGAGUUAUAUGCCCAACUUUAUCCUAAGGGCCUUUGUGAAAGUAGAGGUAAUGACUCAUCUGGUAACUUAAUUUCCUAGUGGGUCAUCAUUUCAAGGGCCCCCAAGACCACCCUCAUGUUUAGUGAUUUGCUAGAAGGAUUCAAAGGACUCAGAAGUAAAUGUAUUCACAGUUACAGUUUCUUGCAGCGAGAGGACACAAAGCAAAACCAGCAAAAGCAAAAUCAGAUACAAAGCAAAAUCAGCUACAAAGCAAAAUCAGCACAUGGGGCAAAGCCCAAAGGAAACCAGACAUAAGCUUCCAGGGUCCUCCCAGUAAAAUGGCACAGGAUGCACUUAACAGAGCCUACGGUUUUUAUUGGGGACUGGUCAUAGAAACCCUCUGCCUAGCACAUAUAAAAUUUCAGACUUCCAGCAGGACAGUGGUAUUCAGCAUAAACCAUAUUGUUUGUACAAACAGUCUAGGCACAGUAAACCAUCCUUAUCAAUUACGGAAUGGUAGGAAGACUCCUGAAAGCCAAGUUCCCAGAUGCUAGCCGUGGGUCAACCUUGCAAGUAGGCCUUUCUGAGGUCUGCUGUCUCAGGGCUGCUAUGUUAGCUCUUUUUCAUUACAGUCACCCAGAGAUCCCCCUCUGCAGCUUCUCCAUCACCACCACUGACCUUAGAGUUGUUCUGGAUUCUGUUGUAUAAGUUAUGGUCUUGGAGACCCUAUAAAGGACUGCAGGAUUUCUGGUUCUGUUCAGUUUUGCCAUCUAUACACAAGAAGUUCUCAGAAACAUAUGUGUUGAACAAAUGAGCUGUUUAAAAAAAAAGGGGUGCUUUAAAAACUGAAAAAAAUACUCCAAAAUAUUAAGAAGGGAUGAUGUUAUUACGUAUAACUUUUAUUUCUAUUUGUAUAUGCUUUCCAAAUUUUCUAGAAUAAACACAUUCUAUUUUUAUUAUUAGAAAAUAAGUAAAACAAAUAUUAGUUUCCAACAAAUCUGCUAAACGAUGCUCCUGCAGAUUAGAUGCCCAAUCCGCAAGGUUGAGCCAAGAUCCACUGGAUAACUUUGACCCCCCAGGGAUAUUUUUAGCCACAGACAUUCUGAGUGAGGCCCACAUCACAAAGCGUUUGUUUCUUAGGACCCAGACUUAGUGUUGCUCCUUUUCAUACAGUCUUCAUAGCUUAAGCUCAUGAAACACGGUGGUCAAUGCUUACAACAAACUUGCCAACUUAUUAAAUAAAAAAUUAGAAGAUUCACUGAUUUUUCCUGGUUUCUAGUGGUAAUGGCUACAAACUAUGAGUGCCACAAUCAGCUUUUAACCAUCUGCACAGAUAGGAAGAAAAUUUUUUAAUUAAAAAUUACUUUCCAAGCCUAUUGUCCUGGGGUUAAUAUUAAUAAUUAGUUUGCAGGAUGAGGCAUUCUAAAAAGAUUCUAGAUAGCAGUAAAAAACUAUCCUGCAAGUUUUUAUAUCUGUCAUGAGCAAUGAAAUGGUUUAUAUUGUUACCACUUAUUAUAACUUAUGAUAACUAAUCAAGAUUCGACAUUAAUAAAUAACAUAAAUACAUAAAUAAAAUUAUCAGUACCCAGCUACUCUAAAUAAUGUCAUCCCUCUUUCUUUCUGGAUUUCUAGUCAAAUUCACUUUCUUCAUUACUUCAAAUACUUUACUUCUAAAGAACAGUACAUCUGUACCCAAACAACAUUUUUCACAUACAGAAGAAAAUGCAUUAAAACUUAUAUAUCAGAUCUAGCAGUUAUAUUUCCAACAGAAAUGAGGACAUGCAUGCAAUAAAAAACAUAUACAGGCCAGGCAUGGUAGCUCAUGCCUGUGAUCCCAACACUUCAGGAGGCCAAGGUGGGUGGAUUGCUUGAGCCCAGGAGUUCAAGACCAGCCUGGGCAAUUUGGUAAAACCCCAUCGCCACGAAAAAUACAAAAAAUUAGCUGGAUGUGGUGGUGCAUGCCUAUAAUCUCAGUUACUCAGGAGUCUGAGGCAUGAGAAUGGCUUGAACCCAGGAGGUGGAGGUUGCAAUGAGCUGAGAUCACACCACUGCACUCUAGCCUGGGCAACAGAAUGAGACUGUCUUGAAACAAAACAAAACACGUACAAAUAGGUUUAUGGCAGCUUUGUUCAUGAUAACUCCAAACUGGGUGCAACCCAAAUGUCCAUCAGCAGCAAAAUGGAUAUAUAAAAUUGUGCUUUGGGAGGCCGAGGCGGGCAGACUGCGAGGAAAGGAGAUUGAGACCAUCUUGGCUAACACGGUGAAACCCCGUCUCUACCAAAAAUACAAAAAAUUAGCUGGGCGUGCACACCUGUAGUCCCAGCUACUCAGGAGGCUGAGGCAGGAGAACCGCUUGAACCCUGGAGGCGGAGGUUGCAGUGAGCCAAAAUCGUGCCACUGCAUUCCAGCCUGGGCAACAGAGCGAGACUCCAUCUCAAAAAAAAAGUGCUACAUUAAUAUAAUGGAAUACUACAUAAUGAUGAAAAUGUAAGAAAUUUGGCAAGAACAUAAAUGAAACUUACAAUGUUGAGUAAAUGAAGUCAGACAAAUAGAGACAUACUGUAUAAUUCCAUUUAUACAAAGUUUAAAACUGGCAAAAGUAAUCUGCCAUAUUGGAAAUCAGGGUAGCAAUCACCCUUAGGAGACAGUGACAGGAAGCAGGCACAGGAGGGGCUUCUGAGCUGCUCAUAAUGUUCUGUAGCUCAGUCUGGCUACGGAGCAUGAGUCAUCAUCCAUUUGGAGAAAUUCAUUGCGACGCAAACUUAAGAUUUCCACACAUUUUAAUAAGUAUGUUUUACUGAUAGAAAAAUAUUACCCUCUCCAAAAAAGAGGGUUUACAAAGAGCUUACACAUAAAAAGACAUCAUUUAUUAAAGUUCUUUUAGCCUCUCCCUCUCCCUCUCCCUCUCCCUCCCACGGUCUCCCUCUCCCUCUCUCUCCACGGUCUCCCUCUCCCUCUCCCUCUCUCUCCACAGUCUCCCUCUGAUGCCGAGCCGAGGCUGGACUGUACUGCCGCCAUCUCCGCUCACUGCAACCUCCCUGCCUGAUUCUCCUGCCUCAGCCUGCCGAGUGCCUGGGAUUGCAGGCGCGCGCCGCCACGCCUGACUGGUUUUUGUAUUUUUUGGUGGAGACGGGGUUUCGCGGUGUUGGCCGGGCUGGUCUCCAGCUCCUGACCGCGAGUGAUCUGCCCGCCUCAGCCUCCCGAGGUGCCGGGAUUGCAGACUGAGUCUCGCUCACUCAGUGCUCAAUGUUGCCCAGGCUGGAGUGCAGUGGCGUGAUCUCGGCUCGCUACAACCUUCACCUCCCAGCCGCCUGCCUUGGCCUCCCAAAGUGCCGAGAUUGCAGCCUCUGCCCGGCCGCCACCCCGUCUGGGAAGUGAGGAGCGUCUCUGCCCGGCCACCCAUCGUCUGAGAUGUGGGGAGCGCCUCUGCCCCGCCACCCAUCGUCUGGGAUGUGGGGAGCGCCUCUGCCCCGCCACGACCCCGUCUGGGAACUGAGGAGUGUCUCUGCCCGACCGCCACCCCGUCUGGGAGGUGAGGAGCGUCUCUGCCCGGCCGCCCUGUCUGAGAAGUGAGGAGCCCCUCCGCCCGGCAGCCACCCCAUCUGGGAAGUGAGGAGAGUCUCCGCCCGGCAGCCGCCCCGUCCGGGAGGUGGGGGGCAACUCCGCCUGGCCGACGCCCCGUCUGGGAGGUGGGGGGCGCCUCUGCCCGGCUGCCACCCCGUCUGGGAGGUGUACCCAACAGCUCAUUGAGAACGGGCCAGGAUGACGAUGGCGGUUUUGUCGAAUAGAAAAGGGGGAAAUGUGGGGAAAAGAAAGAUAAAUCAGAUUGUUACUGUGUCUGUGUAGAAAGAAGUAGACAGAGGAGACUCUAUUUUGUUCUGUACUAAGAAAAAUUCUUCUGCCUUGGGAAAAAAAAAUAAAGUUCUUUUAGU
rnacentral:lncRNA from 1 species